UUUGAUACAGACUUUGGACCAGCAGGUUUCUCCUUAACAGCAUGGUACACACUACAGGGACUCACUUACCUUCAAACUCUGACCCAGCUUCAGUCUUCUAAACUUUUACAAGAAUUAGGCAUUGGUGACCUCAUGUCAGAUGACCAAUGUCAAAGGUCAAGUUCGACAUAUAGUCCAUCAGCUGAUGGAUGGAAGAAAGAUUGUGUAUUGGAUGUUACAACAGUCACCUUGCCGUUGUCCACAACCUCGUCCACAACCUGUGUUGUCAAGGAUACCUGUUCUGCUGUGGAUUGUUGUACAGAGGUUGAUUUCCUCAACAGACCUUUCAACACAUUUCUAUAUAUAGAUCCAUGUGACCUGACAUUUAUCAUCGGAAUAGAGAAACUUGUUUUAAAUGCAAGUUUGACAUCUGACCCAAAUUUUGAA